AUUGAACGCUGGCGGCAGGCCUAACACAUGCAAGUCGAACGGUAACAGGAAGAAGCUUGCUUCUUUGCUGACGAGUGGCGGACGGGUGAGUAAUGUCUGGGAAACUGCCUGAUGGAGGGGGAUAACUACUGGAAACGGUAGCUAAUACCGCAUAACGUCGCAAGACCAAAGAGGGGGACCUUCGGGCCUCUUGCCAUCGGAUGUGCCCAGAUGGGAUUAGCUAGUAGGUGGGGUAACGGCCCACCUAGGCGACGAUCCCUAGCUGGUCUGAGAGGAUGACCAGCCACACUGGAACUGAGACACGGUCCAGACUCCUACGGGAGGCAGCAGUGGGGAAUAUUGCACAAAGGGCGCAAGCCUGAUGCAGCCAUGCCGCGUGUAUGAAGAAGGCCUUCGGGUUGUAAAGUACUUUCAGCGGGGAGGAAGGGAGUAAAGUUAAUACCUUUGCUCAUUGACGUUACCCGCAGAAGAAGCACCGGCUAACUCCGUG
rnacentral:rRNA from 1 species